rnacentral:rRNA from 1 species
AUUGAACGCUGGCGGCAGGCCUAACACAUGCAAGUCGAACGAGUGGCGGACGGGUGAGUAAUGUCUGGGAAACUGCCCGAUGGAGGGGGAUAACUACUGGAAACGGUAGCUAAUACCGCAUACCAUCGGAUGUGCCCAGAUGGGAUUAGCUUGUAGGUGAGGUAACGGCUCACCUAGGCGACGAUCCCUAGCUGGUCUGAGAGGAUGACCAGCGACACUGGGACUGAGCCACGGUCCGGACUCCUUCGGGAGCCAGCAGUGGGGAAUAUGGCACAAUGGGCGCAAGUCUGAUGCAGCCAGGCCGCGUGUAUGAAGAAGGCCUUCGGGUUGUAAAGUACUUUCAGCGGGGAGGCGUUACUCGCAGAAGAAGCACCGGCUAACUCCGUGCCAGCAGCCGCGGUAAUAC